UGCAAGUCGAGCGAGCUGAAUUCAAAGAUCCCUUCGGGAUGAUUUGUUGGACGCUAGCGGCGGAUGGGUGAGUAACACGUGGGCAAUCUGCCCUAAAGACUGGGAUACCACUUGGAAACAGGUGCUAAUACCGGAUAACAACAUGAAUCGCAUGAUUCAAGUUUGAAAGGCGGCGCAAGCUGUCACUUUAGGAUGAGCCCGCGGCGCAUUAGCUAGUUGGUGGGGUAAAGGCCUACCAAGGCAAUGAUGCGUAGCCGAGUUGAGAGACUGAUCGGCCACAUUGGGACUGAGACACGGCCCAAACUCCUACGGGAGGCAGCAGUAGGGAAUCUUCCACAAUGGACGCAAGUCUGAUGGAGCAACGCCGCGUGAGUGAAGAAGGUUUUCGGAUCGUAAAGCUCUGUUGUUGGUGAAGAAGGAUAGAGGCAGUAACUGGUCUUUAUUUGACGGUAAUCAACCAGAAAGUCACGGCUAACUACGUGCCAGCAGCCGCGGUAAUACGUAGGUGGCAAGCGUUGUCCGGAUUUAUUGGGCGUAAAGCGAGCGCAGGCGGAAUGAUAAGUCUGAUGUGAAAGCCCACGGCUCAACCGUGGAACUGCAUCGGAAACUGUCAUUCUUGAGUGCAGAAGAGGAGAGUGGAAUUCCAUGUGUAGCGGUGGAAUGCGUAGAUAUAUGGAAGAACACCAGUGGCGAAGGCGGCUCUCUGGUCUGCAACUGACGCUGAGGCUCGAAAGCAUGGGUAGCGAACAGGAUUAGAUACCCUGGUAGUCCAUGCCGUAAACGAUGAGCGCUAGGUGUUGGGGACUUUCCGGUCCUCAGUGCCGCAGCAAACGCAUUAAGCGCUCCGCCUGGGGGA
rnacentral:rRNA from 1 species